ensembl:lncRNA
UACAGAGUCAAGGUGGAGGCUAUAUACAGGGGGUACUGGUACAGAGUCAAUGUGUAGGCUAUAUACAGGGGGUACCGGUACAUAGUCAAUGUGGAGGCUAUAUACAGGGGGUACUGGUACAGAGUCAAUGUGGAGGCUGUAUACAGGGGGUACUGGUACAGAGUCAAUGUGGAGGCUAUAUACAGGGGGUACUGGUACAGAGUCAAAGUGUAGGCUAUAUACAGGGGGUACUGGUACAGAGUCAAUGUGGAGGCUAUAUACAGGGCGUACUGGUACAGAGUCAAUGUGUAGGCUAUAUACAGCGGGUACUGGUACAGAGUCAAUGUGUAGGCUAUAUACAGGGGGUACUGGUACAGAGUCAAUGUGGAGGCUAUAUACAGGGCGUACUGGUACAGAGUCAAUGUGGAGGCUAUAUACAGGGGGUACUGGUACAGAGUCAAUGUGGAGGCUACAUACAGGGGAUACGGGUACAGUGUCAAUGUGGAGGCUAUAUACAGGGGGUACUGGUACAUAGUCAAUGUGGAGGCUAUAUACAGGGGGUACCAGUACAGAGUCAAUGUGGAGGCUACAUACAGGGGGUACCGGUACAGAGUCAAUGUGGAGGCUACAUACAGUGGGUACCGGUACAGAGUCAAUGUGGAGGCUACAUACAGGGGGUACUGGUAUAGAGGCAAUGUGCGGG